AAAAGUCUAGUUUAUUUAUUUAUUUAUUAUGUAAGCUUUGUUUUAGAGGUAGCAAGUGAACUCCUAUAUGUCUUUAUUUAUUUCAUUCAAGUGAAAUUUAAUUGUAAUUGGGCAUUGUGAGUGAUCUUGUCGGUGAAAUAAAACAAAAAUUUUAAAUAUAUACACUGUGCACUAUCACAUAGUCCAUCUUUCAGAACUCAUCCUCUAAAAAUUGGAUGGUCUCUAUUCAAUCUUGAAAAAAUAAUUGUUUUUUCAAAUGUGUAGAGGGUGCAAUUAAAAUUUUUUUUAUUAGGGUUAAUCAAUGUGUUGAAGAGGUUAUAUGAGCUUAUAUGAGAUGUCUAGGAGCUGCUACUACAGUAUCUUGGUUGGU
rnacentral:lncRNA from 1 species